CUUGCCUCACCUUCAGGAACAAUGACCUGAGAAUGAAGAAUCAGCUGAGUGAACGGCCUGCUGCCUACAGGAGGGAGAAGAGGUCUCGGGCACCACGACAAGUGACAAUGAGACUCCUGCACAUCCUCCUCACUGCUCUCCUUACGAUCCUCCAGGUACUGCCCGACAGCACCGGGGCUCUCAAUU